GACGAACGCUGGCGGCGUGCUUAACACAUGCAAGUCGAACGAUGGACGCUGGAGCUUGCUCCGGCUGGAUUAGUGGCGAACGGGUGAGUAACACGUGAGCAAUCUGCCCUUGACUCUGGGAUAACUCCGAGAAAUCGGUGCUAAUACCGGAUAUGACCCUUGGCGGCAUCGCUGGGGGUCGAAAGUUUUUCGGUCAAGGAUGAGCUCGCGGCCUAUCAGCUUGUUGGUGAGGUAAUGGCUCACCAAGGCGACGACGGGUAGCCGGCCUGAGAGGGUGACCGGCCACACUGGGACUGAGACACGGCCCAGACUCCUACGGGAGGCAGCAGUGGGGAAUAUUGCACAAUGGGCGCAAGCCUGAUGCAGCAACGCCGCGUGGGGGAUGACGGCCUUCGGGUUGUAAACCUCUUUUAGCAGGGAAGAAGCGAAAGUGACGGUACCUGCAGAAAAAGCACCGGCUAACUACGUGCCAGCAGCCGCAGUAA
rnacentral:rRNA from 1 species